CCCAGCUUGUCAUGCUAGAGCACUUUUUCAAUGUGCUCCCCAACGAGAAGGCGACGCAUUCGUAUGUCAAUCCAUAUUAACUUUCGAUGCCAUUGACUGCGCCUACCAUGGUGACCACGGGUAACGGGGAAUCAGGGUUCAAUUCCGUACAGGGACCCUUACAAAUGGCUACCACAUGCAAGGAAGGCAGCAGGCGCGCAAAUGACCCACUCCCGAUGCGGGAAGGUAGUGACG
rnacentral:rRNA from 1 species